rnacentral:rRNA from 1 species
AGCGAACGCUGGCGGCAGGCCUAACACAUGCAAGUCGAACGAACUCUUCGGAGUUAGUGGCGGACGGGUGAGUAACACGUGGGAACGUUCCUUUUGGUUCGGAAUAACUCAGGGAAACUUGUGCUAAUACCGAAUGUGCCCUUCUGGGGAAAGAUUUAUCGCCAUUAGAGCGGCCCGCGUCUGAUUAGCUAGUUGGUGAGGUAACGGCUCACCAAGGCGACGAUCAGUAGCUGGUCUGAGAGGAUGACCAGCCACACUGGGACUGAGACACGGCCCAGACUCCUACGGGAGGCAGCAGUGGGGAAUCUUGCGCAAUGGGCGAAAGCCUGACGCAGCCAUGCCGCGUGAAUGAUGAAGGUCUUAGGAUUGUAAAAUUCUUUCACCGGGGACGAUAAUGACGGUACCCGGAGAAGAAGCCCCGGCUAACUUCGUG